GACGAAGGUGGCAAGCGUUGUUCGGUAUUACUGGGCUUAAAGCGUGUGUAGGCGGAAAAUUAAGCGUUGCGUGAAAUCCCCCGGCUUAACCGGGGAACUGCGCAACGAACUGGUUUUCUUGAGGCAAGUAGGGGUACAUGGAACUCUUGGUGGAGCGGUGGAAUGCGUAGAUAUCAAGAGGAACGCCAGUGGAGAAAUCGGUGUACUGGGCUUGUACUGACGCUGAGACACGAAAGCGUGGGGAGCGAACGGGAUUAGAUACCCCUGUA
rnacentral:rRNA from 1 species